CCUACGUGUGGCUGCAGUGGGGAAUAUUGCACAAUGGGCGAAACCCUGAUGCAGCGACGCCGCGUGAGUGAAGAAGUCUUUCGGUAUGUAAAGCUCUUUCAGCAGGAACGAGACAAGACGGUACCUGCCUAAGAAGCCCCGGCUAACUACCGGCCAGCCGCCGCGGUAAGACGUAGGGGGCAAGCGUUAUCCGGAAUCACUGGGUGUAAAGGGAGCGUAGACGGCUGUGCAAGCCUGAAGUGAAAGGCGGGGGCCCAACCCCUGGACCGCUUUGGGAACUGUACGGCUGGAGUGCCGGAGAGGUAAGUGGAAUGCCGAGUGUAGCGGUGAAAUGCGUAGAUAUAAGGAGGAACACCAGUGGCGAAGGCGGCUUACUGGACUGUAACUGACGUUGAGGCUCGAAAGCGUGGGGAGCAAACAGGAUUAGAUACCCGAGUAGUC
rnacentral:rRNA from 1 species